GCCAGCAUGGUGCAGUGGUCUGAAUGUUAGACUGCAACUCUGGAGAGCAGGGUUCAAAUCCCUGCACAGUCC